rnacentral:rRNA from 1 species
GACGAACGCUGGCGGCGUGCUUAACACAUGCAAGUCGAACGGAAAGGCCCUGCUUUUGUGGGGUGCUCGAGUGGCGAACGGGUGAGUAACACGUGAGUAACCUGCCCUUGACUUUGGGAUAACUUCAGGAAACUGGGGCUAAUACCGGAUAGGAGCUCCUGCUGCAUGGUGGGGGUUGGAAAGUUUCGGCGGUUGGGGAUGGACUCGCGGCUUAUCAGCUUGUUGGUGGGGUAGUGGCUUACCAAGGCUUUGACGGGUAGCCGGCCUGAGAGGGUGACCGGCCACAUUGGGACUGAGAUACGGCCCAGACUCCUACGGGAGGCAGCAGUGGGGAAUAGUGCACAAUGGGCGGAAGCCUGAUGCAGCAACGUCGCGUGCGGGAUGACGGCCUUCGGGUUGUAAACCGCUUUCGCCUGUGACGAAGCGUGAGUGACGGUAAUGGGUAAAGAAGCACCGGCUAACUACGUG